GACACAACACCACAAGUUAAAGGAGGAAAGGUUUACUUUGGCUCACAGUUUGUAGAGGUUUCAGUCCACAGCCUGCUGGCUCUAAGGCAUCACAAAGGAGAAAGAGAGCAAGGCAUGGCUGGUUGGAAGAAGAGAGGGAUUGAAGGACAGACCCUUCCAGACCACACCCUCAACGACGCACCUCCAAGCAGGCUUCACCUCCCAAGUCACAGUAAGCUACACACUCGUCAGGGUCUCACUUUGUCGGCUGGCCUUGAAUUCACUUUGUAGCCCACGCUGGCCUCAAACUCUCCAUGAUCUUCCUGUUUCAAACCUUCCAAGUGCUAAAAUUGCAGGCAUGCACCACCACACCUGGCUAAUUCAGGUUAUGUGGGAGACUGAGACACAAGAAUCUCUGGAUCAGAACCAUCCUGGAGUAUACAUAGUCUUUAUCUCAAAAAAUGAAGAAUAAAAGGAGGGACAGGAGUGCUCGCCUAGUGUGUAGAAGAACCUGGGUUUGACCCCCAGCACCACAAAACAGCAGCAGCAAAAGCCUUCAUUUCCUAAGUCCAAAACGGGUUCAGCACAGGAAAAUUUCUCCAGUCCACCCUCAAAGGAAGAAAAAUUUAAUUUUGCUCUGCUUCCAGAUUUGUAUAAAGAUUAUGCACAAGUUAAGUUUAUAUUGAAAACAUUUUUGGUUUGGGAUACUUUGAUGGAAGGCUUAAUCAAAGGAGAAAAG
ensembl:lncRNA